UUCGGAAUAACUGGGCUUAAAGGGCGCGUAGGCGGGCUGUCAAGUCUGGGGUGAAAUCCCGCGGCUCAACCGUGGAACUGCCUCAGAUACUGACGGUCUCGAGGGAGGUAGGGGCGAGCGGAACUGUGAGUGGAGCGGUGAAAUGCGUUGAUAUUCACAGGAACUCCGGUGGCGAAGGCGGCUCGCUGGACCUCUUCUGACGCUGAGGCGCGAAAGCCAGGGGAGCGAACGGG
rnacentral:rRNA from 1 species